GGAGCUCUCCCAUAUGGUCGACCUGCAGGCGGCCGCGAAUUCACUAGUGAUUGUUUGAUCCUGGCUCAGAUUGAACGCUGGCGGCAGGCUUAACACAUGCAAGUCGAACGGUAACAGAGAAUAGCUUGCUAUUCUGCUGACGAGUGGCGGACGGGUGAGUAAUGCUUGGGAAUUUGCCGAAAGGUGGGGGACAACAGUUGGAAACGACUGCUAAUACCGCAUAAUGUCUACGGACCAAAGGUGGCCUCUAUUUAUAUGCUAUCGCCUUUCGAUGAGCCCAAGUGGGAUUAGCUAGUUGGUAAGGUAAUGGCUUACCAAGGCGACGAUCCCUAGCUGGUCUUAGAGGAUGACCAGCCACACUGGAACUGAGACACGGUCCAGACUCCUACGGGAGGCAGCAGUGGGGAAUAUUGCACAAUGGGGGAAACCCUGAUGCAGCCAUGCCGCGUGUGUGAAGAAGGCUUUCGGGUUGUAAAGCACUUUCAGCGAGGAGGAAAGGGUGAUGGCUAAUAUCCAUCAUCUGUGACGUUACUCGCAGAAGAAGCACCGGCUAACUCCGUGCCAGCAGCCGCGGUAAUACGGAGGGUGCAAGCGUUAAUCGGAAUUACUGGGCGUAAAGCGCGCGUAGGUGGUUAAUUAAGUCAGAUGUGAAAGCCCAGGGCUCAACCUUGGAACUGCAUUUGAAACUGGUUGACUAGAGUUUUGUAGAGGGUGGUAGAAUUUCAGGUGUAGCGGUGAAAUGCGUAGAGAUCUGAAGGAAUACCAGUGGCGAAGGCGGCCACCUGGACAAAGACUGACACUGAGGCGCGAAGGCGUGGGGAGCAAACGGGAUUAGAUACCCCGGUAGUCCACGCAGUAAACGAUGUCUAUUAGAAAGUUUGUGGCUAUAUGCCGUGGGUUUCAAAGCUAACGCAUUAAAUAGACCGCCUGGGGAGUACGGCCCGC
rnacentral:rRNA from 1 species